GUGAACGCUGGCGGCGUGCUCAACACAUGCAAGUCGAACGAUGAAGCUCUAGCUUGCUAGAGUGGAUUAGUGGCGCACGGGUGAGGAAUAUAUAGCUAAUGUGCCCCAUAGAGGGGGAUAACAGUUGGAAACGACUGCUAAUACCCCAUACUCCUUCUUCUCAUAAGGGAAGUCGGGAAAGUUUUUUCGCUAUGGGAUCGGGCUAUACGGUAUCAGCUUGUUGGUGAGGUAACGGCUCACCAAGGCUAUGACGCCUAUCUGGUCUGAGAGGAUGAUCAGACACACUGGAACUGAGACACGGUCCAGACUCCUACGGGAGGCAGCAGUGGGGAAUAUUACACAAUGGAGGCAACUCUGAUGUAGCAACGCCGCGUGGAGGAUGACACAUUUCGGUGCGUAAACUCCUUUUAUAUAGGAAGAUAAUGACGGUACUAUAUGAAUAAGCACCGGCUAACUCCGUGCCAGCAGCCGCGGUAAUACGGAGGGUGCAAGCGUUACUCGGAAUCACUGGGCGUAAAGCGCGCGCAGGCGGCCCCUUAAGUUGGAUGUGAAAUCCUAUGGCUCAAGCAUAGAACUGCAUCCAAAACUGAGGGGCUAGAGUCUGGGAGGG
rnacentral:rRNA from 1 species